rfam:Sporisorium reilianum SRZ2 chromosome 1 complete DNA sequence
GGCAAGAUGGCCGAGUGGUCUAAGGCGCUGUGUUCAGGAAUUCUCAAUUCUAUCGCAGUCUUCGGGCGUGGGUUCGAAUCUCACUCUUGUCA